GGAAGCGUGGCAGAGCGGCCGAAUGCACUCGCCUUGAAAGCGAGAGUCCUGAAAGGGUCCGGGGGUUCGAAUCCCUCCGCUUCCG
rnacentral:tRNA from 5 species